ACCCGCUGAACUUAAGCAUAUCAAUAAGCGGAGGAAAAGAAACCAACAGGGAUUGCCCUAGUAACGGCGAGUGAAGCGGCAACAGCUCAAAUUUGAAAUCUGGCGUCUUUGGCGUCCGAGUUGUAAUUUGCAGAGGGCGCUUUGGCAUUGGCAGCGGUCCAAGUUCCUUGGAACAGGACGUCACAGAGGGUGAGAAUCCCGUACGUGGUCGCUAGCCUUUACUGUGUAAAGCCCCUUCGACGAGUCGAGUUGUUUGGGAAUGCAGCUCUAAAUGGGAGGUAAAUUUCUUCUAAAGCUAAAUACUGGCCAGAGACCGAUAGCGCACAAGUAGAGUGAUCGAAAGAUGAAAAGCACUUUGGAAAGAGAGUUAAAAAGCACGUGAAAUUGUUGAAAGGGAAGCGCUUGCAGCCAGACUUGCCUGUAGUUGCUCAUCCGGGUUUUUACCCGGUGCACUCUUCUAUAGGCAGGCCAGCAUCAGUUUGGGCGGUUGGAUAAAGGUCUCUGUCAUGUACCUCUCUUCGGGGAGAACUUAUAGGGGAGACGACAUGCAACCAGCCCGGACUGAGGUCCGCGCAUCUGCUAGGAUGCUGGCGUAAUGGCUGU
rnacentral:rRNA from 1 species